rnacentral:rRNA from 1 species
AACUUUAAAAUUAAAAAUUUUGGCGGUAUCUUAGUCUGUUCAGAGGAAUCUGUCCUGUAAUCGAUGAUCCACGAAUGAUUAUACUUUUUCUUUUGUUUAUAUAUCGUUGUAGCUUAAAAAUUUUAAAAGAAAUAUAAUUUUUAUGAUUUUUAUUAAAAAGGAAUUCAAAUCAAGGUGUAGCGUAUGAAUUAGUAGAGAUGGAUUACAAUAUAUUUAUAUUAAGAUAGUUUUUUGAAUAUAAAAUUAGAAUUAGGAUUUGAAAGUAAAAUUAAUUUAAUAAUUAAUUUGAUUUAAGCUCUAGGAUAUGCACAUAUUGCCCGUCGCUUUCAUUUUAAAGUGAAAUAAGUCGUAACAAAGUAGGCUUACUGGAAGGUGAGCCUGGAAAGUCGAGUUAGAGCUUGAUUAAAGCAUCUUAUUUACACUAAGAAGUUAUUUGUGAAAUUCAAUUUAACUUGAUUAUUAAAUAAUUUAUUUUCGUUUUUAGGUUUAAUUAAAAAAUUUAAGUGUUUAAGUAUUAGUUUAGAAUAAAUUUAUCUAAUUAUAGUUUAUUAGUACUGUAAAGGAUUAUUUGUUAAUUUUUAUAAGAAAAAUUUAUUUUUUGUACCUUGUGUAUCAGGAUUUAUUAAUUAUAAAUUAUUAAUUUAAUUAUCCCGAAUUAAGAAGAGUUAAAUUUAUAUUAUUUUAUUGUAUCAUAAAUACUAAAAAUAUAAAUUUCGCAGCGAAAUACUAUUCGUUUUUUAAUAUAUCUGGUUUUUAAAGAAAAAAAUUCAAUUUUAUUAUUAAAAUUAAAUAUUUAAUUAAUUAAUUAUUUAGUAUUAAUAGUUUAUUUUCUGAGGGAUGAGCUUUGGAAAUUAAUAUUAAAAAUUAUUUAUAUUUAUUAGAUAAAUAGGAUUAGAAGCUUCCAUUUUUAAAAUAAAGUUAUAGUUUAAUUAAUUAUUCUAAUAUUUUUAUAUAAUUUUAAUUUUUUUAUUUAAAUAUUAAUUUAAAUUAUAUUUAUUAAGUAAUAAUGAUAUAAUUAGUAUAAUUAUUGUUAAAUUUUUUUUAUUACAAAAUUUAAGUAAAGGAAUUAGGCAAAAAAAUUUUUCACCUGUUUAUUAAAAACAUGGCCUUUUGAUUAUAAUUUAAGGUCUUGCCUGCCCACUGAGGAUUUGAAUGGCCGCGGUAUUUUGACCGUGCAAAGGUAGCAUAGUUAUUAGUUUCUUAAUUAGAAGCUGGAAUGAAAGGCGGGAUGAGAAAAUGACUGUCUCUAUUUAAUUAAUUAGAACUUUAUUUUUAAGUAAAAAAGCUUAAAUUUUUUUAAAAGACGAGAAGACCCUAUAGAGUUUUAUAUAUUUAUUUAAUUAUAAAUUUUUAGAAUUAUU